UGCAGAGAGACAUGAGGGGGGACAGGACCUGCAGACCAGUGGAGACUCCGGCCCGGAGCCCAGGAUGAAGGACUGGGAGUCCUGAGCUUGCCUUCGGUGCCCCAUUGGUGCUGCAUCACAUUUUUCUGCUGACAGAGGAUUCUCCCUGGACAGCUGCUGUUCACCCUUUGUUCUCCAAGAGGACCGUUCUAAAACAAGGAGGAAAAGGAUGAUUUUGCAAACACUUCCUGAGCUUCUACCAGGAGAAGCAGAAAGAAAAGGUACAACGAAUGCACAAGACAGCUGCAAAGUAAGAAGAAAGACGGGCAGAAAAGAGAUUUCAGAUCUGGAAGGAGAAGCAACCUCAGGACUCAUCCGGCCUCCCACCCUCACUUUACAGAUGAAUGAACCGGGGGCCUAAGAAGGGGAAGCGUCUGGGGAGUAGGCAGCAAAGGCAGGGUGGGGAACAAUCAAUAAGUAUUUAGUCAAUGUCUCUGCUAAUAGUGAACAAGGGCCUUUGGUGCACAAGGCUCUGUUGGGAAUGUGUUUGAGACACUCUUAAAAGAGGGUUCUAGAGAGAGAGAGAAAGAGAGAAAGAGCCGGGAGAGGCCGCUAGGUGGCGCUGCAGCGGAACGAGCACC